rnacentral:lncRNA from 1 species
CUGGGUCGUCUGUAGAACCAACAGAGCUCAAGAAUGAUAUUCUCAAUGGAGAUUUUGACAACCAUUGGCAAAAUUUGCAGUAUGGCCGUUAUUGCCAAAAUUCUCAACAUCCGCCGGUGUUGUAUCCUGCUCCCGUCGUAGUGCCACCUACUUAUCUCCAGGGGCGUUUACCAUGGGAUGGCCCUGGAAGACCUCUUGCUUACACCAAUGUAGUUAAUCAGCUCAUGGCCUACGGACCUCGUAUUCUACCCGUUGCCCCUGUACAACCUGUUUCUACCAGGCCACCUAACAUUUACCCUCGUUAUGCUAAUGAAGCUCCCAGAUACCGAAGUGGGACGGGGACCUAUUUUCCAAAUCCUGUAAGAACUGAAUCCCUUCCUUAAUACUUGUGUGCAUGCUUUCCAAAUCCUGUGAUGUGUAGGUUGUUCCCUAUCCAUAGGUUUUGUGAGAUUUCUACAAACUUACAAACUUGAGCUACUUCGUAAGGCAUGAAAGAUGAGCUUUUGUGUUGUUUUCUUAUUGAUAAAAUGUUUGAUAGUCUUGUGGCGUAUGGGUCUUGAAUGAAUUAACAGUAUGAUUUGUCUGCUUAAUCUACUUGCAUGUUUUGGGAGGUUUUGGGCAUGUUUCAGGCUAUGAUUUUGGUUCUUGUUCGUUUGCUCUUUAUCCAACCCUGCUUGUUAUAUGCUAUCUCCUCCUUUACUGAUUAUUUAUUAUCUUUUGUUUGUUAGUAUCUUUAGAUAUAAAACUCAUGACGGUUUUGUUUUGUCAAACUGCUCUAAACUUGUGUUGAAUUGGUUGCAGAAGAUUUCCCCUAGGGAGCAGCGGCCGACAUCCGGCGUGAGGCGAGGGAAUUAUGGGCAUGACAGAAACGAGCACCACAGCGAUAGAGAAGGGAAUUGGAAUAACUCAAAGGCACGGGGUUCUGGGCGAGGCCACAGCAAUCGUAACCAAGCUGAUAAUAAAAAAAGAAGUAGAGAAGAGGAGAAAGAAGAACUUGCCGGGUAAGAAAGAAGACGGUCACGCAUCAUACGGUCGAGAGAGGCAAGGAUGACUGAUGAAGGUGAGGAGACAGCUGUGAACACACGAGCAUUAUGCUCUUUCCACAACAGGUAGAUGGCUGACUAAAAGUAGAGCUUGAUGACUGGAGUAACAUGCGCAUCUGCGUUGACGCGAAGUUGAUUGAUCCAGGCUGCAAUAGAGUGUAGAUCAGCCAGAGGAGAAAUCCAAACUUCAGCAGCAAAAGGCUCCCAUAUCAAGCGAGAGAAAGAGCACUCAAAGAAGAGAUGAUGGUGAGUCUCUAUUUCCAGAUUACAAAGGACGCACGUUCCUGAGACAUUAACCUCCAACGCCUCAAGCGAUAAAAAAAAAAAAAAAAAAAAAAAAAAAAAAGCUCAAGCGAUCAUUGGUUGGCAGUCUUCUUCGCAAAGCCAGCCAUGAUAUAAACGCAUUACGUAGAAUAUGUUCCUUGAACCAAAUAGUCUUGUGCCAAUAUUUGUUGUUGAUAGUGUUUAUAUUCUUUGCUGACAUUAGUAUAUAUAUUUUUUAGUAAACUGAUCCAAAGAGAUUAGUUUGUGGAGCUAACCAAAGGAGGAUUAUAGUGUUUACUUUGAAAAAAGUAAUAGGUUGAAUGAUAAAUGGCGUGCGUGCUUUUUCACAUCGAAAUUUGCACAUAUAUUAAAAUUGUAAGAUUUAAAUCACAGAAAAAAUAUAGUGUAUAUGACUGAUGUUGGUCCAUUCCAAAACUAAAGAUGGCUAAAAUUCUUCUUUGUCAAAAUGCAUAGAUGUGAAUCUUAUAUGAAUAGAGUUUUCUAUUGCUUAUAGCAGUGUAAUAAACUCCGUGUGUAAAGGAGAAGAAAUGUUAUAUAAGUGAAAACAAAAAUUAUGAUUUUUUUUUGUGUCUAUAGGCUCUUCGCAAUUUGUAGAAGAAAGAACAUAUUGUGUGAAAAUCUUUGGCUCGGUCAAAUUUUAUCCAGUUGUUUAUAAAACUGUUGUUAUUUGAUUCAUGUAAUUUUUCAGUGUUGAUUUAAAAGCCCAAAAAACCCAUCUAUACUAACUUUCUGAUAUUUUUUCUGUGAUUAGAAUUUAAAAAGAGAUAAAACUUUCGAUAAGUUAUGUAAACUCAGAACAAAUAUUUAGUUUUAGAAAGCAUUUACAUGUUUCAAACUUAUAAUAUAUACAUAUAUAAUAUUUAAAAUUAUGCAUAUAAAACCUGUGUAAAAUGUGUCUGAAUAUGUUUCUCUUCUUUAAUGUGUUAAUUGUACUAUAUAUAAUAUUAUUUUAAAAUUUCAAAAAGUUUAUGUCACAUACAAAAAACCAUUAAUAAAAAAUAUAAUUCUCCAUCUACAACAAGAAAAAUGAAAAAUUAUAAAUAUAUAAAUUUAAAUUAAGAAAAACUAACAUUGGAAAAACAAGAAGUUAAUGUAAAAGAAAAAAAUCGACAAAUAAUAUUAUAAAUAAAAUAAAUUUAUAAGACAUAAUCCGCGCGAAGCGCGGAAAAGAUCUCUAGUUACUAAUAAUGAAAACAAAAAUUUAUAAUUGUGUGUGUAAAGUAAACUCUACAAUGAUAAUUAGCACAAUUAAUACAGACAUUAAAUGUUUUUAUUUUAAUUUGAAAAGUACGGAAACACCCCCGCCUAUCCUCGUCACCAAACACUCCCACUUUUGCCUCGUCCUCCCAGAAACAAAGAGAUAGUAGAGAGAAUAGAGAAGAAGAUAACAAAAACCUAAUAGAUGAGCAGCGAUUAGAGAGUCCGUGAGUGUAAGCAACCUUUUUGGAUGAAUCUCGCAUUUGCCCUCUCGAUUCGUCGAUACUGCUAGAUUUUCUCUGGAUCAAUCCUACGGUUCUUAUUCAUUUCCGCUCCUUUCUGUUUUUAGAAUCUUCCUCCCUCCCUAGGGUUUUCCUUCUUCCUCCUUAUCCGAUUUGCGAUUGGAGACUGAAUCGAUUUAGAUUCUUACUGUUUGGUAGAUAAUCUGGGCAGAUCGAAGGUUAAUCGGCGGAAGAGACAAUCUAAUGCUUGCUUGACAGUAACCGUAACGGUUGGGUAGAUAAGAGUCUUUGAUUGGAUUAGAAGGUGAAGUUCGGGAGAGAUUUGCAUGGGUGAGAAUGAAUCAUGGGCGGCGGCUUCUCCGCCGUCGUCGCCUAGUGGCUUGUUUCCGAACGGGCUGUUGCCGGGGAUGUCUGAAUCUGUGACACGGCCUCUCGAUGCGGAAAGGUGGGCCGUUGCGGAGGAAAGAACCGCUGAGCUCAUUUCUCAUAUACAGCCGAAUCCGCCUUCGGAAGAUCGCCGGAAUGCUGUUGCUAGAUACGUGCGGAGGCUUAUCAUGGAAUGCUUCCCUCUUCAGGUUGAGGUGGGUUUCCUUUUGUGGAUGUGGUUGGUGUGACUGUUUGUUUGCUGUUUGCUCCUGUUAUUAUCCAGAUAAAGCUUGGAGAUUUGUAGUGUGUUUUUAAUUCAUAUAUGAUAUUUGACUUUGUGUAUCACUUUUCAUUUUCUACCAGAUCUUUACUUUUGGAUCUGUGCCACUAAAGACUUACUUGCCCGAUGGAGACAUCGACUUAACGGCCUUCAGCACUAACCAGAAUCUGAAGGAUUCUUGGGCUAAUUUGGUUCGUGAUAUGCUGGAAAAGGAAGAGAAGAAUGAGAAUGCUGAGUUUCAUGUCAAAGAAGUCCAGUAUAUUCAGGCAGAAGUAUGCCCCCCUUUAUCCUAAUGAUAUUGCUUCCCCCUGGGUUUGGUCUAUGUCUCCAUGUUAGACUGUUUGUUAAGGUUUUGCGGGUACAAUGUUUCAGGUGAAGUUAAUUAAGUGCCUGGUGGAGAACAUUGUGGUGGAUAUAUCUUUCAACCAGAUUGGAGGGCUGUGUACGCUAUGCUUCCUUGACCAGGUCAACCAUAGAGAACAUUCCACUUGCUUUCUCUUUCUGAAUUUGGCUUGAUUUUUAAUUUCUAUAUCUUUAUGUUUUUAUCUAUGCAGGUUGAUCAGUUUAUAAACCAGAACCAUUUAUUCAAGCGUAGUAUCAUAUUGAUUAAAGCCUGGUGUUAUUACGAGAGCCGUAUAUUGGGAGCUCACCAUGGGCUUAUUUCAACAUAUGCCCUGGAAACCUUGGUUCUUUACAUAUUUCAUGUUUUCAACAACUCAUUUUCUGGACCCCUCGAGGUAGUGACAUUACCAAACUGUCUUUAUUCUGUCAGGAAUGGUUUCGUCAAAUCGCCUGACUUGAUUGCUUGCAUUUGUAGGUUCUCUAUCGUUUUCUUGAGUUCUUUAGUAAGUUUGACUGGCAGAAUUUUUGUAUUAGCCUAUGGGGCCCUGUUCCAGUUAGUUCACUACCAGAUGUAACAGGUAUUUACAAAUGCUGUCUACCUCACCUUUGCUUUAGUUGUGCAUCUAACUGUCUAUAGUACUGAUUAUGUUGCUAUGCAAUUUUGCAGCGGAACCUCCUCGAAAAGAUGUUGGAGAGUUACGACGUAACGAAGCGUUUCUCAAAUAUUGUAGUAGAGUUUAUGCAGUUAACCCUGUUGCUCAGGAGACACAGGGGCAGCCUUUUCUUUCCAAGCAUUUCAAUGUCAUAGACCCUUUGCGUGAAAACAACAACCUUGGACGCAGUGUUAGUAAAGGUGCUGCCUAUUUCAGAUUUUAUUUAUUAUUUAUUUAUCAAAUAUCAAGCUAGAUGAUGCACAAACAUGUUGGUUUAUUUACAUGCUUGGAUUUUGGUUUUGUUGUUGAAUUGUUGUGUCAGGUAACUUCUUUAGGAUACGAAGUGCAUUUACUCUUGGUGCUAAGAAGUUGGCUAGGUUACUUGAAUGCCCUAAGGAGAAUUUGAUUCAUGAGGUUAACCAAUUCUUUAUGAAUACAUGGGAUAGACAUGGCAGCGGUCGUCGUCCUGAUGCUCCUGGAAAUGACCUAUGGCUAUCAAGAAGACUGGGAGAUCCUGAGCCUUGUCUUCAAGCUGAAAAUGCUAGUAGUUCUUCAAGCAGCAAAAGAAACCAAAAUUCCAUCCGUUCUGGUGAGGUUCAAGGAGCUCGCAGUAUGCCCUCUCAACAGAAUAACUGUGGAACAGAAAUUACAUCUAAAGCAACAUAUCAAAACCCAAAGAGUUGUGGUAACGCUUACCAACUUGCUCAAGAAGCUCGUUCUAAUCAAAAUGCUUCAAAUGAUAAACUUCAGCAAACUGUUAAGCCAGACAUUAUGGUGAAUAGUUUUCAGGGAAGGCAUCUCUUUGCCAGAACGCGGUCGAGUCCUGAGCUUACUGAGACAUGUGGUGAAGCUCUUUUGCAACCAAGGCGCAGUAGAGCCCCAGAAGCUGGAAAACGCCAACCUAAUUCUAUGAGGGCUGAAAAUAUCAGGAAAACUAAUAUGGAGUCUGAAAGUUUGUCAAGCAAUAUCAGAUAUGCGGCUGACUCAUCGUCAGUUAGGCAUACACCAUCCCCGCGAAGUCCUGAUAGUACUGCUGACAUGAGCAGCGCAGUGAACAGUUAUUAUGAUGAUUUAGGUUCGGUUUCCGUGAAUGAAGAUUUUUCUGCCGCAGGGGAACAUGGAAUGCAACAGGAAGAGCAAGAUCUUGUUAACUCGAUGGCAUCUUUUACCCGGGAAGGUUUUAAUGGACACUUUCCUUUUCCUUUUAAUUUUCCUACGGGCCACAUGCCUCUGCAAAUUACACCAGCCAUGUUAGCUUCAAUGGGAUAUGGUCAGAGGAAUGUGCCUGGUAUUGUUCCUUCUAACUUUCCUUUCAUGGAGACACCUUGGAGUACUAAUGUACAAUUUCAGCAAAACUUUGCUUCUUCACCAUUUACCCAUUAUCUUCCUAGUGGAUCCGAUCCAAUCUCAGAAAAGCUGAGCAAAGCUGGUAAUGAGGAUAUGGGGUCUCCACAAGUGAAUGUUGACGAGUCUGGCCAUGAGCACUGGCACGAGCAAGAACGCGGAACUCGUAGUUGUAGACUUGAAAAUGGUCAUGAUGGAAUGCAUCAGGCAAACGAUAAACAUUAUUCAUCUUCUGCAGAGCACGUUACUGUACCCUCAAGUCGUAAAAUACGGUCAACAAGGGGAGAUGAUUUAGAAAAUUCCCACUCUCCAGUCAGAGGAAGUCAGAUUCAGAGUGAGGAGAGAAAUGCAGGCUCUAGAUCUGUUUCUUGUGCUAGUUCCGUUAGAAGUAGGACUUCAUCUGAAAGCUCUUGGGAUGGAUCAACUACAAGGGGCUCAAAGCCAGCUAGGGAUAAACGGAAUAGGAAAGUAGCUUCUGGGGCUGUGCCUGCACUGUAUGGAAAAGGGAAGAGUGUUCCUGAGCACUCAAUCCAGGUUGAAGAUGAUAACAGAGAAUGGAUUCCUGUAUCUAGCAAUGAAGCAAUCGGAAGGGAUUUUGGCCCUCGGCCACCUGUUGCUUCAUUUCAACUUCAGAGGCAUCAAAUACAUGGUCAUGAAUUAGCUCAGGCAAGUGGAUCAGAGUCCACAGUGCCUCUUGCUCCAUUUAUCCUUGGCCAUGGCAUGCAACAAAACGAAGCUGAUAGUUCCGGAUAUACUUUUUACCCCACUGGACCACCUGUUCCAUUCUUUACAAUGGUUCCAAUGUACAACUAUCAAGCUGGUGGUAAUGCUACAUCAGAUGCUUCGGCAAGCCAUCUCAGUGUGGAUGAAGGAGUAGAUAAUCAUGAUUCCUGUAAAAGUUUUGACUCGUCAAAGGGAGACCAGUCUGAUUUAAAUGUGUCUUCGCAAUCUACCAGAGCUGGGUUGUCUGUAGAACCAACAGAGCUCAAGAAUGAUAUUCUCAAUGGAGAUUUUGACAACCAUUGGCAAAAUUUGCAGUAUGGCCGUUAUUGCCAAAAUUCUCAACAUCCGCCGGUGUUGUAUCCUGCUCCCGUCGUAGUGCCACCUACUUAUCUCCAGGGGCGUUUACCAUGGGAUGGCCCUGGAAGACCUCUUGCUUACACCAAUGUAGUUAAUCAGCUCAUGGCCUACGGACCUCGUAUUCUACCCGUUGCCCCUGUACAACCUGUUUCUACCAGGCCACCUAACAUUUACCCUCGUUAUGCUAAUGAAGCUCCCAGAUACCGAGGUGGGACGGGGACCUAUUUUCCAAAUCCUGUAAGAACUGAAUCCCUUCCUUAAUACUUGUGUGCAUGCUUUCCAAAUCCUGUGAUGUGUAGGUUGUUCCCUAUCCAUAGGUUUUGUGAGAUUUCUACAAACUUACAAACUUGAGCUACUUCGUAAGGCAUGAAAGAUGAG